GUAGUCCACGCCAUAAACGAUGGAUACUUGGUGUUGGAGGUAUUGACCCCUCCAGUGCCGAAGCUAACGCGUUAAGUAUCCCGCCUGGGGAGUACGGUCGCAAGAUUAAAACUCAAAGAAAUUGACGGGGGCCCGCACAAGCGGUGGAGCAUGUGGUUCAAUUCGAUGCAACGCGAAAAACCUUACCUAGAUUUGACAUGUAUUGGAAGGAUCCCAGAAAUGGGUCCGCCCGCAAGGGUCGAUACACAGGUGCUGCAUGGCUGUCGUCAGCUCGUGUCGUGAGAUGUUGGGUUAAGUCCCGCAACGAGCGCAACCCCUGUGUUUAGUUGCCAGCAUUUAGUUGGGCACUCCAAACAGACUGCCGACGUUAAGUCGGAGGAAGGUGGGGAUGACGUCAAGUCCUCAUGGCCUUUAUAUCUAGGGCUACACACGUGCUACAAUGGUCGGUACAGAGGGAAGCAAAGCCGCGAGGUAGAGCAAAUCCCACAAAGCCGAUCUAAGUUCGGAUCGUAGUCUGCAACUCGACUACGUGAAGCUGGAAUCGCUAGUAAUCGUGGAUCAGCACGCCACGGUGAAUACGUUCCCGGGCCUUGUACACACCGCCCGUCACACCAUGAAAGUUGGUUUUAUCAGAAGUCAUUCUGCUAACCGCAAGGAGGCAGGUGCCCAAGGUAAGACCGAUGAUUGGGGUG
rnacentral:rRNA from 1 species